UACAGAGGGGGCAAGCGUUGUUCGGAAUUACUGGGCGUAAAGCGCGUGUAGGCGGCUUGGCAAGUCGGGUGUGAAAGCCCUGGGCUCAACCUAGGAAGUGCACUCGAAACUGCCUCGCUGGAGUGCCGGAGAGGAAAGCGGAAUUCUCGGUGUAGAGGUGAAAUUCGUAGAUAUCGAGAGGAACACCGGUGGCGAAGGCGGCUUUCUGGACGGUUACUGACGCUGAGACGCGAAAGCGUGGGGAGCAAACAGG
rnacentral:rRNA from 1 species